rnacentral:misc_RNA from 1 species
AAAGAAGCCACCGCUAUUUGCAUCUCUCCUUCACUGACUGGAUGGAAGCUCACUCGUUUCCGUGCCUUGACACUUUCGCUUUCUGCUCUGCCAUGGCCACCCUGCAAAUGCACUUGUUGUUGUGGAGCAAUUUCGGUCGACCUUUUGCCUCCUUUGUUAGCAAUGCAAAGUUCCAUAAUCUUUGCAGCUGCCUCUGCAUCGUCCUUGCUUUCUUGCAUCAACUUCUCUACUUCUGCCUUUGGUAACCUCAUCUUCACCCUCAUUGGACCGCUCUGCUCGGGAACAAUGCUACUGCUGGAAGAACUUGGGUUUAUUAUGGAAAGAUCGGACGUUGAUCUUCGAGCCAGCAUUAAGCUCUCGAGCCUGUCUUUAGCGCUCAUGUUAAUCCCCGACCGAACCCUUCUCGCAGCUUUCUCUGCUGAAGCCUUAGGCAGCUCUACUAGGAAAUAAAGCCUCUUCGGCACCAACUCCUGGUGUGGUUCCAGAGGCUUUGCCCUAAUCCCAUAAUGCUUAACUGCCUCUGAUUCUAGGAGAACAAGACCUGGAUAGUCCUUAAUCACCUCACCGGCCUUCACCGGCGUCU